GUGGUACCACUCCUUCCCAUCCCGAACAGGACAGUGAAACGCCUUUGCGCCGAUGAUAGUGGACGGACGUCUGUGAAAGUAGGUCAUCGUCAGGC
rnacentral:rRNA from 1 species